UAACAAUAGAGUGGACUGUGUGCCGUCAGGUUCAGGUCUGUGUUGUGAAGGUGAACCUCUUUUACAGUAAAGGCCUCCUGUUGUUAAUGGCUGUGAUGAUGAGGAUGAAGCACUGAGUUUGUCCUCGUUGCUAUGCAUCACCCCAACGACUCCCCUACGAGGUAGGACAAUUUUCCCAUCAUCCCUCAGUCACUCAGACCAUUACUCUCAGCAUUAAUGGAGCAAAUGGAGCGGCGACUGGCACCAAUCGCUCUCCAUCUUUCUCUCCCUUGGCCCCUUUGUCAACUCUUUACUUCUCUCCUCUGCCUGUUUCUCAUUCUCUUCACUUCCAUCUCCAGUUUUCUACAUUUUUCUUUUUUCCAGAAUUCCGGCCACUUUCUCCAUAAAUCACACGUCCUAUCCCUGUGACGUACUGCUGCCCUGCGGCGAUGGCCCGUGGUGUGAUUUUAGCCUCAUGCUGAUUUUCGUGCCGGCUCAUACUUUGUAUGUCGCUGCCUUCGCCAGUUGCACACAAUUCGGACACAGCAAGGUUUUUCUUUGAGCCCGUCCUGUAGUUUUUUUUUAAUUCUCUUUUCAUGCGAGAGAAUGGAAUUAAGUCGACUGCGUUACUGACUGGGCUGUUUCUGGCCGGGAAUCAUUGUUUUCGUUGGCGGCCACACUUUAAAACUCUGUUGAAAAAAGUAUUAGUUUUUUUCCUCCAUGUCUAUAAAUGGGCUCUUUUCAUGAAUCCAUGAGGGAAUGCUGCAGCUUUUGAAGGGACUUAAGGAGGAUACUGCACUCCCUGUUCAGUCAAGGGCCGGAGAUUUACUCCCCACAUUUGCACACUUCAUCACACUGAGGCUAAUACGAUAUGUCUGCGUGUUGCUGUACACGAAUCGUCAUGGUAUUUAUCAGAAUCUUCAGCCAAAUUGCUGGAGACGGAGCAACUGGAGUGGCAGUGAGAGGGGUUAGUGAAUUGUUUCCUGUCUCUGAGAGGUGAUGAGUGAAGGAGAAAAGGAGGCGACGGCUGCUCCCAGCACUGAUAGCAGGGAAAGGGAUGAAUGCACUGAAGUGUCUGGAAAAUAAGUUAGCUGUUACAAUGUAUAUGUCAUAAAGAUGAUUAAGUGAUGCUACCCACACUGUCGUCAAAAUAAUCCAAUUUAUUUCUGGCUUCUCACUCCAGAGCUUCAGAUGAAGUCACUGACGUAGUGAUGACACAUAAAUAUUGUCGUAAUAUUAGUGUUCAAAUCACCCAGAGCUUUGACUGUGUAGGAUUCUUAUUAUAUAAACAUGUAGUAGGGGUUACUACAGUAAGUCAUUUAUGGAGUCAUUUUUUGUAACAAAGACACAGUAGGGGGCAGUGUCCCAUGUGGACAGGUUGACAAUGGGAUUAGGGCCAAAAUAGAUACCACGUCUACAAUAUUAGGAGCAGAUUAGAAAAUUCCAAGUGCGGAAAUAAGAGUUUGUCGACAUAAUCACGACAUCUUCAAACGCCCCCUGGAGGAGGCCCCUGGAUUUAAACACAGCCUGUGCUUUGUCAAUUCAUCUGUGUCUUUCUGUGAUGGUUAAUUAAUGACGUUGCGUCUCUAACGUAAUCCAACCAACUGCUGACGGUGUCUUCCAUUCAUCCUUCGCUGUGGAUUAUUAAGACUCCCAUUGAUCUUCUCCUUCAGUGUUCCUCAAGAAGGCAGGCAAGCACGUUUCUUCAAAUGUCAAACACAUGGGCGUCCUCCGCCUCUGAUAGUGUGUACUGUCAAAAGUGUCAAAGGUAAUUUUUUCAGAAAAAAAGACGCUUCAGCUUUUCCUUUCCUCCACAGUCUCCCCUCCGAUGCUGGCUGCAGAAUUUCUCCUGGGACAAAAGUUAAUGGCUCUAAUGGUCUGAUUCCCACUGGGAACACUCAAAGCCAACAUGUUGGCUCCGAUGGAACUGAGGCCCUUCAUACAAACAUCAGCUCCGCUGACAUCAUAUCACGGCUGUUUAAUGGAGUGAAGCCAGUCAGCCACUCUGUGCCAAACACCUCUCUGUGAGACAUCUGAUAGCUCAGCUUCAGAAGCGCCGACUCUCCUCCACUUGAUGUUUCAUAAUUAACACCAACGUCUGUGAGGAAACAAACUCCACGCUCCGGGGGACUGAGAAGGGAAACUUCUGUGGAGUUAAUCUGACAAAAGGCCCAUUCUUCCAUCAUCAGAUGUUGAAAACUGAGUCUCAGACGGAAUGACAUGUUGUAUAAAAGUGAUGUAAGGAAACUCCCGCAGUCCACGCCGCCGUCUGCUGCUGCCGCCACCGCCACAUCCACAGGCUUAUUUAUGAACAGACAGGCAGGAGCGGCGUCCGUGUGGAAAUGACCCAGACGCACUUCAUCAUCUGACAUCCAUGAACCUCCGUCAGCUCCACAUCUGAACCCUCGUUCAGGAACAGCCAGGUCUGGACUUGAGCGCUGGCUGAACGGAGACACAGACCGAUCUGAACAAUUUGUCAUCAUUGUGAGUGAAGACCGCUCUUUGACUGACGUGCUCCCUCUGUGACCUCACUCUGUGCUGUGAACUGAUAAGAGAAAACACACUGUAUGUGGGCGACUGUGUCUGAGGAGGAAAUAUGACACUGAUGAGUGAGUCGGCCAGGACAGUGCAGGCAACACAGGCAUCGCCUCUGAAUGGUUUCUACAGCUGACCAUAAUGGACCAAUCAGAGACGAGGGCGUGUCUGAAGAAAAUGUCAAAACGUCUGAGGGUUUUAUGACUGAUGAAAUUACAGCGAGGGCACGAAUUACAGGACAAGCUCAUCACUGCCAUCUUCUGGAUUUACACCUACUGUGAUAAGAAACAUCACCCAAGGGUUCCUCUCUCAUCAGGAGGUUGGCAUGGUUUGAAUGCUGGGAGAACAUCCUGGCACAGCCGUGCCCCUGUAUCCAGGCUAAGGACAGACCUUAGCUGGUCCCACUGAGACCAGAGACCAUCGUUGGAGACAAUAAUCAUUCUGUCAGAUUGAACAUCCGCUGCCUGAACGUAUACAUGUGUGGCUCUCACACGUACAGUAAAGGCCACCCAUCUGCUGUGAGAGCCUGGAGAUCCUCCACAGUCCUGCACCCAGCUCCAGCUCCAGCUCCACCUCCAGCUCCAGCUCCACCUCCAGCUCCAGCUCCACCUCCAGCUCCAGCUC